rnacentral:tRNA from 1 species
GGGGAUGUAGCUCAGUGGCAGAGUGUUUGCUUAACAUGCAUGAGGCCCUGGUUUAAUUCCCAGUAUCCCUG